rnacentral:lncRNA from 1 species
GACGGGGACAAUGCUGGAAACUAACUCCUCCUUUGCUCCUGGGAGCUAGACGAACAUUGCUUUUUUGGAAUAAAUUCAUAUUCCCUCCUUUUCAAAAAGGUGAAUAUUCCAGAGAAUUUUUUUUUUUUUCAAAAAUACAUAUUUUAUAUUUUCAAUUCAAAUUUUGUAAACUAAUAAUGAAAAAUUGUUAAGUUCAAGAACAUUAAUUGUAUUUUUAAAUUUUUAUUGGCUUAAAAAUAU